rnacentral:rRNA from 1 species
CCCUUAGAGUUUGAUCCUGGCUCAGAACGAACGUUGGCGGCGUGGAUUAGGCAUGCAAGUCGAACGAGAAAGUCCCCUUCGGGGGGCGAGUAAAGUGGCGAACGGGUGAGUAACGCGUGGGAAAUCUGCCCUUGAACUGGGGAUAACACUCCUAACGGGGUGCUAAUACCGAAUGAGACCCCAAGGUCGCAUGGCCUGGAGGUUAAAGGUGGCCUCUAUUUAUAAGCUACCGAUCAAGGAUGGUCCCGCGUCCCAUUAGCUUGUUGGUGGGGUAAUGGCCUACCAAGGCUUCGAUGGGUAGCUGGUCUGAGAGGAUGGUCAGCCACACUGGGACUGAGAUACGGCCCAGACUCCUACGGGAGGCAGCAGUCGAGAGGCUUCGGCAAUGGGGGAAACCCUGACCGAGCGACGCCGCGUGGGCGAUGAAGGCCGUAAGGUUGUAAAGCCCUGUCAGGAGGGAAGAAACGCUGGUGGGUGAACAAUCCAUCGGUUUGACGGUACCUCCAGAGGAAGCUCCGGCUAACUCCGUGCCAGCAGCCGCGGUAAUACGGGGGGAGCAAACGUUGUUCGGAAUUACUGGGCGUAAAGGGUGCGCAGGCGGCUCGGUUAGUGGAAUGUGAAAUGCCCUGGCUUAACCAGGGAACUGCAUUCCAUACUGCCGGGCUUGAGUAUAGGAGAGGAUGGGGGAAUUCCCGGUGUAGCGGUGGAAUGCAUUGAUAUCGGGAGGAACACCAGUGGCGAAGGCGCCCAUCUGGCCUAAUACUGACGCUGAGGCACGAAAGCUAGGGGAGCAAACAGGAUUAGAUACCCUG